rnacentral:rRNA from 1 species
GACGAACGCUGGCGGCGUGCUUAACACAUGCAAGUCGAACGAAGUGGCGAACGGGUGAGUAAUACGUGGGUAACCUGCCCUCCUUUUUGGGAUAAGCCUUGGAAACGGGGUCUAAUACCGAAUAAAGGGGGAUGGGCUCGCGGCCUAUCAGCUUGUUGGGUGGGUGAUGGCCUACCAAGGCGGUGACGGGUAGCCGGCCUGAGAGGGUGAACGGCAACAGUGUAAAUGAGAUAGGGCCCAGACUCAUACGGGAGGCAGCAGUGGGGGGUAUUGCUGAAUGGGCGAAAGCCUGAUGCCGCGACGCCGCGUGGGUGAUGAAGGCAUUUGGGUUGUAAAGCUCUUUCGAUAGCGAAUGGGUAGGUUUAGAUGAAGCGCCGGGUAACUACGUUCCAGCAGCCGCGGUAAUAC